ACUUGGGGGACGUAUAAGUUUAUUUAUUAAACUAAUUACACUGGAGGUUAUAUAUUGAAAAAAAGAAGAAACACAUGCCCAGUAUAUAAUAGACUUCUUAAUUAAUUUAAGGGGUACUUUUGACAUUUUGAUAUGUAUAUAUCCAAAACUGCAAUAACAGUUUUUGUCAAUUAAUUAUCAUGUACUUUUUUUAAUUGAAAAGUAUUAAAUUGAACUUUAGUUCAGUGGACAGUGUAAUAGCGAUUUAGUCGCAUAAAGUUCUAGAUAGAAUACUGAUUAUGACAAUUUUCUAUCUAUAUGUCUUGACCAAAUUACGUGCCAGCAGUCGCGGCAAUACGUAGAAGACUAGUGUUAUUCAUCUUUAGUAGGUUUAAAGGGUACCUAGACGGUGUAAUUAGUCUUAAACAAGAUACAGUUAUACUAGAGUUAUAUAUGAGGAGGUGAGUAUUUGUGGAGUAGAGUUGAAAUUCUUUGAUACCAUGAGGACUGGUAAGGGCGAAAGCAACCUUUUAUCUAAUAACUGACGUUGAGGGACGAAGGCUUGGGUAGCAAACAGGAUUAGAUACCCUAGUAGUCCAAGCAGAAAAUGAUGAAUGCCAUAGAUUAGAUGUUUAUUUGGUCUAUAAAUGAAAGUGUAAGCAUUUCACCUCAAGAGUAAUGUGGCAACGCAGGAACUGAAAUCAUUAGACCGUUUCUGAAACCAGUAGUGAAGUAUGUUAUUUAAUUCGUAAGUACGCGAAAAACCUUACCACAACUUGGAAUAUUAUUUUUAGGAGUAUAAAUUAUUUAUAUUUUAUAUUUUUAAUAUAUUACAAGCGUUGCACGGCUGUCUUCAGUUAAUGUCGUGAGAUAUUGGUUAAUUCCAUUAAAUUAACGGAAACCCUUGCUUUAUUUGCGAAAAUUAUAAAUAAAGCAGACCACCUU
rnacentral:rRNA from 1 species